rnacentral:rRNA from 1 species
CCAAAAUCCGCGGUCCAUUAAUCCUGAGAUGUGAUGCCGAGCCGAUUGUGGCGAAGUGGGUGAUCCUAUGCUGCCGAGAAAAGCCUCUAGUGAGUGUCGUGGCGGCCCGUACCCCAAACCGACUCAGGUGGUCAGGUAGAGAAUACCAAGGCGAUCGGGUGAACUGUGGUUAAGGAACUCGGCAAAUUGCCCCCGUAACUUCGGGAGAAGGGGGGCCUCCGCUGGUGAUCAGACUUGCUUUGUGAGCUGGUGGGGGUCGCAGAGGCCAGGGGGAAGCGACUGUUUACUAAAAACACAGGUCCGUGCGAAGUCGUAAGACGAUGUAUACGGACUGACGCCUGCCCGGUGCUGGAACGUUAAGGGGACCGGUUAGCGCACUUCGGUGUGCGAGGCUGAGAACUUAAACGCCAGUAAACGGCGGUGGUAACUAUAACCAUCCUAAGGUAGCGAAAUUCCUUGUCGGGUAAGUUCCGACCUGCACGAAUGGCGUAACGACUUCCCCGCUGUCUCAACCGCAGACCCGGCGAAAUUGCACUACGAGUAAAGAUGCUCGUUACGCGCAGCAGGACGGAAAGACCCCGGGACCUUCACUACAGCUUGACAUUGGCGUUUGGAACGUCUUGUGUAGGAUAGGUGGGAGACUGUGAAGCUGUCACGCUAGUGGCGGUGGAGUCAUUGGUGAAAUACCACUCUGGUCGUUUUGAACGUCUAACUUCGGUCCGUGAUCCGGAUCAGGGACAGUGUCUGGUGGGUAGUUUAACUGGGGCGGUUGCCUCCUAAAGAGUAACGGAGGCGCCCAAAGGUUCCCUCAGCCUGGUUGGUAAUCAGGUGUCGAGUGUAAGUGCACAAGGGAGCUUGACUGUGAGACCGACGGGUCGAGCAGGAGCGAAAGCUGGGACUAGUGAUCCGGCGGUGGCAUGUGGAAGCGCCGUCGCUCAACGGCUAAAAGGUACCCCGGGGAUAACAGGCUGAUCUUCCCCAAGAGUCCAUAUCGACGGGAUAGUUUGGCACCUCGAUGUCGGCUCGUCGCAUCCUGGGGCUGGAGUAGGUCCCAAGGGUUGGGCUGUUCGCCCAUUAAAGCGGUACGCGAGCUGGGUUUAGAACGUCGCGAGACAGUUCGGUCCCUAUCCGCUGCGCGCGCAGGAGACUUGAAAGGAGCUGUCCCUAGUACGAGAGGACCGGGACGGACGAACCUCUGGUGUGCCAGUUGUUCCGCCAGGAGCAUGGCUGGUUGGCUACGUUCGGAAGGGAUAACCGCUGAAAGCAUCUAAGCGGGAAGCUCGCCUUGAGAUGAGGUCUCCCACCACGAAAGUGGGUAAGGCCCCCGGGAGACGACCGGGUUGAUAGGCCGGAGGUGGAAGCAUGGUAACGUGUGGAGCUGACCGGUACUAAUAGGCCGAGGACUUGACCAC